AUACGUACCUGGCAGGGGAGGUACCAUGAUCAAGUAGGUGGUUCUCCCAGGGCGAGGCUCAUCCCAUUGCACUGCGGGAGGGUUGACCCCUGCGAUUUUCUCAAAUGGGGGAAAUUCAACUGUACAAUUUCUGGUAGUGGGGGACUGCGGACUCGCUAUCCCCCU
ensembl:snRNA U1 U1 spliceosomal RNA